CGUAGGGUCCGAGCGUUGUCCGGAAUUAUUGGGCGUAAAGAGCUCGUAGGCGGUUUGUCGCGUCUGCUGUGAAAUCCCGAGGCUCAACCUCGGGUCUGCAGUGGGUACGGGCAGACUGGAGUGCGGUAGGGGAGAAUGGAAUUCCUGGUGUAGCGGUGGAAUGCGCAGAUAUCAGGAGGAACACCGAUGGCGAAGGCAGUUCUCUGGGCCGUAACUGACGCUGAGGAGCGAAAGCGUGGGGAGCGAACAGGAUUAGAUACCCUGGUAGUCCACGCCGUAAACGUUGGGCGCUAGAUGUGGGGACCUUUCCACGGUUUCCGUGUCGUAGCUAACGCAUUAAGCGCCCCGCCUGGGGAGUACGGCCGCAAGGCUA
rnacentral:rRNA from 1 species